UACGUAGGGUGCAAGCGUGUCCGGAAUUAUUGGGCGUAAGAGCUCGUAGGCGGUCUGUCGCGUCUGCUGUGAAAACUCAGGGCUUAACCCUGAGCUUGCAGUGGGUACGGGCAGACUAGAGUGCGGUAGGGGAGACUGGAAUUCCUGGUGUAGCGGUGAAAUGCGCAGAUAUCAGGGAGGGAACACCGGUGGGCGAAGGCGGGUCUCUGGGCCGUAACUGACGCUGGAGGAGCGAAAGC
rnacentral:rRNA from 1 species